GUCUGGGAUACCACUUGGAAACAGGUGCUAAUACCGGAUAACAACAAUAGCUGCAUGGCUAUUGCUUAAAAGGCGGCGAAAGCUGUCGCUAAAGGAUGGACCCGCGGUGCAUUAGCUAGUUGGUAAGGUAAUGGCUUACCAAGGCGACGAUGCAUAGCCGAGUUGAGAGACUGAUCGGCCACAUUGGGACUGAGACACGGCCCAAACUCCUACGGGAGGCAGCAGUAGGGAAUCUUCCACAAUGGGCGAAAGCCUGAUGGAGCAACGCCGCGUGAGUGAAAAAGGUUUUCGGAUCGUAAAGCUCUGUUGUUGGUGAAGAAGGAUAGAGGUAGUAACUGGCCCCUAUUUGACGGUAAUCAACCAGAAAGUCACGGCUAACUACGUGCCAGCAGCCGCGGUAAUACGUAGGUGGCAAGCGUUGUCCGGAUUUAUUGGGCGUAAAGCGAGCGCAGGCGGAAAGAUAAGUCUGAUGUGAAAGCCCCCGGCUUAACCGAGGAAUUGCAUCGGAAACUGUGUUUCUUGAGUGCAGAAGAGGGGAGUGGAACUCCAUGUGUAGCGGUGGAAUGCGUAGAUAUAUGGAAGAACACCAGUGGCGAAGGCGGCUCUCUGGUCUGUAACUGACGCUGAGGCUCGAAAGCAUGGGUAGCGAACAGGAUUAGAUACCCUGGUAGUCCAUGCCGUAAACGAUGAGUACUAAGUGUUGGGAGGUUUCCGCCUCUCAGUGCUGCAG
rnacentral:rRNA from 1 species